GGAGUCGGGUUGUUUGGAAACGCAGCCCAAAUUGGCAAGUAAACUUUUGCUAAGGCUAAAUACGGCUACGAGACCGAUAGCAAACAAGUACUGUGAAGGAAAGUUGAAAAGCACUUUGAAAAGAGAGUGCAAGAGAACGUGAAACCGAUGUAGUGGAAGCGUAUGAAGCCGACGUAUCUAGUGCGUAUUCAACCAAGUAGUUGGUUGAGGCGGCGGUUGGAGUUCUGCAAAGUCUCCCUCUGCUGUUUUUCCUCUGAUUACUUGGCGCAUUUGCGUACAGAGUGCGCUGAAUCGGACGAGAGCGCUGUUCGAUCGGAGCAUAGAGGAUCGACUUCGGUCGAAACCCUGUGCAUUGUGAGGSCAGAUGWGCUUGUCCGCUCAAAUAGUUGCUGGUGAAUUCGUGGUGGCGACUUUGGAUUAGUCGGCUUGCGUAUGGCGCGUGCGUUCUGCGCUUGUUGGCGAAGUCUAGGGCCGUUGCUGCUCCGCAACCUAUUCGGCGUAUAGUCGGUCACUCAUAUGACCCGUCUUGAAACACGGACCAAGGAGUAUAAGGUGUACGCAAGUCAUUGAGUGUUGAAAUUCAAAGGCGCAAUGAAAGUGAGCCGUUUAACGGCUGUGAUGUGAACGGAGUGGGAUUCGUCCCGCCCGUGCAACAUCGCCCCAUGACUAGGCCUCGGUCUGUUGUGGCGGCUGAGCGUACGCUUUGUGACCCGAAAGAUGGUGAACUAUGCCUGAACAGGACGAAGUCAGAGGAAACUCUGAUGGAAGUCCGAAGCGGUUCUGACGUGCAAAUCGAU
rnacentral:rRNA from 1 species